rnacentral:rRNA from 1 species
CUGGGGAAACCCAGGCUAAUACCGCAUACGUCCUACGGGAGAAAGGGGGCCCCGGCUCCCGCUAUGGGAUGAGCCUAUGUCGGAUUAGCUAGUUGGUGAGGUAACGGCUCACCAAGGCCACGAUCCGUAGCUGGUCUGGGAGGAUGAUCAGCCACAUCGGGACUGAGACACGGCCCGAACUCCUACGGGAGGCAGCAGUGGGGAAUAUUGGACAAUGGGGGCAACCCUGAUCCAGCCAUGCCGCGUGUGUGAAGAAGGCCCUCGGGUUGUAAAGCACUUUCAGCGAGGAAGAACGCCUAGCGGUUAAUACCCGCUAGGAAAGACAUCACUCGCAGAAGAAGCACCGGCUAACUCCGUGCCAGCAGCCGCGGUAAUACGGAGGGUGCAAGCGUUAAUCGGAAUUACUGGGCGUAAAGCGCGCGUAGGUGGCUUGAUAAGCCGGUUGUGAAAGCCCCGGGCUCAACCUGGGAACGGCAUCCGGAACUGUCAAGCUAGAGUGCAGGAGAGGAAGGUAGAAUUCCCGGUGUAGCGGUGAAAUGCGUAGAGAUCGGGAGGAAUACCAGUGGCGAAGGCGGCCUUCUGGACUGACACUGACACUGAGGUGCGAAAGCGUGGGUAGCAAACAGGAUUAGAUACCCUGGUAGUCCACGCCGUAAACGAUGUCGACCAGCCGUUGGGUGCCUAGCGCACUUUGUGGCGAAGUUAACGCGAUAAGUCGACCGCCUGGGGAGUACGGCCGCAAGGUUAAAACUCAAAUGAAUUGACGGGGGCCCGCACAAGCGGUGGAGCAUGUGGUUUAAUUCGAUGCAACGCGAAGAACCUUACCUACUCUUGACAUCCUGCGAAUUUGGUAGAGAUACCUUAGUGCCUUCGGGAACGCAGAGACAGGUGCUGCAUGGCUGUCGUCAGCUCGUGUUGUGAAAUGUUGGGUUAAGUCCCGUAACGAGCGCAACCCUUGUCCUUAUUUGCCAGCGCGUAAUGGCGGGAACUCUAAGGAGACUGCCGGUGACAAACCGGAGGAAGGUGGGGACGACGUCAAGUCAUCAUGGCCCUUACGAGUAGGGCUACACACGUGCUACAAUGGUCGGUACAAAGGGUUGCCAACUCGCGAGAGUGAGCCAAUCCCGAAAAGCCGAUCUCAGUCCGGAUCGGAGUCUGCAACUCGACUCCGUGAAGUCGGAAUCGCUAGUAAUCGUGGAUCAGAAUGCCACGGUGAAUACGUUCCCGGGCCUUGUACAC